AGCUGAAUGUAAACACAAAAGUGGUUGGAGAUUAGCUUACGAAACAAUAUUGCCCCGGAUACAAAGAGAAGUCUAUUCUUGCAUAAAGUGUACACAUUAUAUCGAAGAUCAAAGACGAAUCCAUGUCGAGAAAACUAGAAGAUGCCCAUGAAGAUGGGACUCUCUGUCCUCCACAAGGGGACCCCUCCACAAGUGGAUAUGGACAAAAGUGUUUCCUUUUGUGGAAACACCACAGAACCUGAGAGACAAGACUGACACUGAUAUUGACACCUUCAUCAACCAAGAAGUAGAGGAUGUACUACAAGAUUUCAAGAUCAGAAAUGGACACUGUUCAGAAACCAGUUUUCUUUGAUGAGGCUAUCAAGACCAUCCAAGCAUCCAACAAGGCUUAUCAUUGAAGAUAAUGGACAUUAUAUUGGAAUAACAUUGUUGAAGGAUUUAGCUGACCAUUCAACAAAGAUAGGGAAUAAAAUAGAGGGUUUCCACUGCAUAGUCUCAAAAUAACUAAGAACAAAAAAUCAAACAUCAAGAAGGAACACAGGUAUUGAGAAGGUUCAGCUGAGAGAUAUUGAUGUAACAAGAGAGGUUGAGCCAAUAACAGUUUCAGAAGUGUCAUGUGAAAUGUACUUUAGAGAAGAAAGCAAAUAUAAGGACUUCACACUUUAUCUUUUACAACAGAAGAGGCCAGGCGCAAAACUUUCUCCAAGAUGCUGCGACAAUUGAUAAUUAAUAAACUGCCCUUCCCUGCUCAACUUUUGACAAUUGAAAGUUCUGUCACAUCUUUCCAUUUACUCUGAGCAAACUUUAUAACAUAUUUAUAAAAACAUUUUUUAGAAUCGUACUGAUUUUAGGAUGUAAAUGUAACCAUUUUAUUUGCCAUUCUGUUAAAGACUAGUUUAUUUGGGGAAUGAAAUGAUGCAUUACAGUAGUGUAACAAAUACCAUUGAAAAUUGUGAAGAUAAAGUUUUGUACAUGUACAUAAUUAAUGAGUAGUACUAUAAAACUAUGCCAUUGACUUGAUUAAUUCAUUAUCAUGCAUUUCAUUUCAAUCUUGUAAAAAUGCAAACAAGUACCUACAUAUACUAAUAGCUAUUGUUCAUUAUGCUAUUUCUGCCUUGGCCAUUGCAUUUUUUUUUCAUGUAUGUUAAAAUCCAUUGAUUCCACCGUCAGUAUAAACAAUACACUUUUUAUGGAAUAGGAUUUUAAAUACUGCAGAUUACUAAAUUUUUCGCAACAUCUUAUUUUCGUGAGAUAGUCAUUGACUCUUUAUAAGCGAGACAUAAUUUUCCAAAUUCUUAGAGUUUUUCUAUAUUACCUUAAGGAAUACUAUUAUACAAUGAAAUUUUGAAGUGUUUACCCUCUUGCAUAAUUACGUGAAAAAAAGUUCUCGCGAAUAAAAAGUAAUUUACAGUAGUUUUGUAGUUUUACACCAGGUGCCAUUUGGUCUAUGUGUUAACUAUGGUACAUUUUUUUUAUAAGUUUUAAAAUUACACAUCAUGUGCCUUUUGGUCUCUGUGUUCAAUCAUUAAAAUGAUUUCUUUUUCAUAAUUUCUUUUGAAAAUAAAUAUUCUUUGAUUUAAUAAAUUACACAUAGGCCUAAAAGUGAAAUUAUAAAAGUUUCUUGUACCAGGGUACAUAUUAUUUCAUACUUUUUUGUUUGUAAGCUUUGGAUUUCAUUUAUUUUAUUUUUUUUCUUUACCAUGCACUAUUUCUAAAUUUGUUACUCGUUUCUUUACCUGCAAUACUAUGCUUUUUCCCCAUUUCUAUAUGUGCUGAAUGCCUUUCACUUUUGGGGAUUCAUUGAAUAGUUCUUCUGCAUGUACUUAAAUUAAAUGAUUUUUUUGAA